UACGGAGGGAGCUAGCGUUGUUCGGAUAUACUGGGCGUAAAGCGCACGUAGGCGGCGCCGUAAGUCAGGGGUGAAAUCCUGGAGCUCAACUCCAGAACUGCCUUUGAUACUGAGGAUCUUGAGUUCGGGAGAGGUGAGUGGAACUGCGAGUGUAGAGGUGAAAUUCGUAGAUAUUCGCAAGAACACCAGUGGCGAAGGCGGCUCACUGGCCCGAUACUGACGCUGAGGCACGAAAGCGUGGGGAGCAAACAGG
rnacentral:rRNA from 1 species